UUCCCCUUUUGCUUGUUCACUGUGCGGCAUUAUUACAUUUACACCGGUAAUGCUGCGCAUGAAAGAGCGAACGGAA
rnacentral:pre_miRNA from 1 species